rnacentral:rRNA from 1 species
UACGUAGGGGGCAAGCGUUGUCCGGAUUUAUUGGGUUUAAAGGGUGCGUAGGCGGCUUAUUAAGUCAGUGGUGAAAUACUCUAGCUCAACUAGAGGGGUGCCAUUGAUACUGAUGAGCUUGAGUACAGAUGAGGUAGGCGGAAUUGACGGUGUAGCGGUGAAAUGCUUAGAUAUCGUCAAGAACACCUAUAGCGAAGGCAGCUUACUAGGCUGUAACUGACGCUGAGGCACGAAAGUGUGGGGAUCAAACAGG